rnacentral:lncRNA from 1 species
AUUGAACUAUGUGACAGGAACUGUUACCAAUGUCUACAAGCCAUUAUCGAGUCUAUCUUUGGACAACCAAAACCAUUUCUCCAACAUGUUGUCAUUCUUGGACGUGUUAGUUCAUUUGGAUUUGCAGAUGAAGUCCUUAAAAGGUCAGUUUAAUUAGUUUGUAUCAUAUUAACUAAUGACUAUUAUACUAUACAAAUGAUAUGAACAUUUUCCUCCAAUGAUCCCCCUUUGGCACUGUGCCCCCCUCCCCCCGCCUCUAUGUUUUCCAAGUCUGCUUCCAAAAAUAAAGAAAUAUACUCAAAUUGUUGUGGGUAGCCAAAAAAUUUCUUAAAUCAAAUUAGGGUUUCUUCAGGGAUUUUUAGGGCUGCCCCAAAAACUCACUCUUGAAUUGAGUUUUGAAAUUUGAUCUUCUGACCAAAAGUUUCAUUGUAGUAAAAAUGAAGUUGUUUGAGUUUAAUACAUUUGUGACAUGUGGAGAUUAGUUUUCACUUUUCAGUUGGAAACCCGAAAAUUUCUUAAAAAUUUCCUGUGUCCCUUCACAUUUUACAAAAAAUUUAAAGCAUGUUUUUAUCAGUCGGAAGUAAUUGUUUUGAUGAGAGAUAUGUUUCUUGACACUUUUGAACAGGAUUCAUACAAAACUUGAAAGUCCUUGAAUGUCCUUGAAUUUGAAAACAAAAAUCCAAGGCCUUGAAUGUCCUUGAAUUUGUAAAGAAGUACUUGAAUGUCCUUGAAUUCUUCUUGCUUUAGUUUAUGGAUACUUUCUGAAAUUGUUUGACAUUCAAGACGGACAUUUUGUUGAACUGAUUUUGCAUGUUCAUUUCUCACCUCAUUAUAAAGUUACGUUUUGAACAAUUCAACGUCAGAUUUUGCUGAUUUCUAAUGCCUUCUUCUUCAGCAUUUAGUCCUUGAAUUUGCUCAUACAUGGCCUUGAAUGUCCUUGAAAAAUCCUUUGAUUUGACAAUUCCUGACAUGUACAAACCCUGUUUCAAGAAGUUUGAAAUAGUUUGGGCCACUUUUUGAAUUUUUGAGAAAUUUCCUGUGAAUUUUACCAACGCAGCAUAUAAAUUAUAAAUGCCGAAUAAUAAUUGUGUAUGCCAAUAAGGCAAUUUGAAUCCUAUUGGCGUACAAAAUUGUUAUUCAGAAUUUACAAUUUCUAUGCUGCAUCCAAUCUAUUUCAGACCAAUCAGGGGAUGCUUUUGUAAAUACCCAUGUACCCAAAUAUUCAGAAGUCUUUAUUUUUAUGCUAAAGCAGAAACAUUCCAGAGAAUAAAUUAAUAAAAUUAUAUUCAAAUUUAGGGUGUGUUGCAGCUGUAUAUUUUGCCGCUGCCUUGUGUGGUCCUCGCCUGUUUGUGAAAAAAAGUACUUUGAAGAUCAAGAUACGACGCUUAAAUAGAGGAAAGCACAAAUGCCGAAGUUAAAGACAUGAUUAGGUAUGUUUUAUCAAUUUGAUGUGAAAUGUUGAUAAAUUUCGUGAGUUAAAGUGGUUGAAACUGCUUGUCGAAUUUGACGAUCGCAAGUCGCUUUGUGUUCAACAUUUUGUGGUGGUUUAUAUAGAUACUGAAUUCAGUGGUGUAACAGAGGAACCUUUAGGCAUAUUUGGUGUGGGGGGCCUGUUAACUGUUGUUAUUGUUUGAAUGAGAUGUUAUAUUUAGCUAUAUUUCCCUCUCUAUAACAAUCACAGCUACAACACAACUAAGGAGCCAAUUAUCUGGAGCACUUUCAACCCAGGAGUUGAACUCAGUGCUGUUAACCGGUUUGAAUUUUUUGUGAUUACAUGGAUGAUUUCAACGCCAGGUUUGAAAUGCUAUAUGUCCCUGGCAUUGAUUCCCGGAAGUACAAAAAUGGUUCCAUAACCUCCAUUUUGUUUUCUUGUAUUAAAUAGUCACUACCACACAUGCUCGAGCGAGUAACUGAUUAAAAUUUUCAGCCCCAGGUUGAAACAAUUACAUGACAAAAUUUUCAACCCAGGGCCGAGUUUUCCCUCCUGGCAGAGGUCUCUAUUGGUAGAGACCUCUACCAGCAAAGAGGGUUGAAUUUCAACCCCGGGGUUGAUAAUAAUGUAAUGUAAUUGUGUGUUUGAUUUUUUUGAAGUUUUGUAUUACACACAGGGAUGAAAUUUCAACCCAGUCAACAGAGCUGGGUUCAACCACGGGGUUGAAAAUGCUCCAUGUAAUCGGCUUCUAAUAAGAAUAAGAAUACCGCUUGUUUUAUUUGAGAUGGAAUAAAAAAUUCAGUUGAUUAUUUUGCAUUAUUAAUUUUGCAUUUUCCCAUCAAUUCUUAACCUGCAUUUUUACAUCUUCUCAUUUUCUGGGCUACAGGUCAUGGCUGUGUGUGGAGGGGGGGGGGGGGCUUAACUGUCGGCCCCUAAUUUGAAUUAACCCUGCCUAAUACCUCAACGUUUCGUGAAGUUUAGUUCAAAUUAGCAGAGAUGAGUGCAUAAAGUAUUUAGGAUAUUUUGAAGCUAAAUUUGUUUUUAAAUUUGUCAUUUUAGUGAAUACAAGAAAUGUUGAAUAGUCUGCUGCAAGGAGACAUCUGGCAUUGUAAUGAAUGGAUGAUAAUGUGAGUCGCUGGCAAACCUACAGCCCCUACUGCGAUAGGCAGUCAAGUAUUUUUAACCUGCACAUUUUUGUUUUUAUUUCCCCUAUUUUAUUUUAUGUUCAUAAAUAUCAUGACUCAUG